GGCUGCGACCAUACCACGUUGGAAACAGCGGUUCUCGUCUGAUCACCGAAGUUAAGCAAACUUGAGAACAAAAUUGAAAGUGAUCUCAAGUCAUCAGUGUUUUAUCGCCGUUA
rnacentral:rRNA from 1 species